AACAUAGGUCACCGUGCUUGUUUUCGAGAAAAUUGAGGCUGAAAAUUGGGGAUUUGUGCAAUUUUGUAAAAAAAAAUUGGCAAUGUUAUAAUUUUUUUUUAACAGAUAUUUUUCGUCGUAAAUUAUUAAGAUCGGGUUCAAUCUGAAGCUAUGAUAAAUGACAAAAAGGAAAAAAAUAAAUCACUACACGAAUAACUAUGCAAUUAUUCAAGUCUUGCUUGACAUUGCAGACCAGAUGCUCAAAGUGGUAUUUUUUUAAACCUAAAAAAAUGGAAAGAAACUGUUUCUGAAAAUGUCAUUUUUAUCAUUUUUCUGCAUAAACUGCAUUUUGUCAUGUUUUCUCCAAAUCUCAAAUAAAAAAUAUAGGUCACCGUGCUUGAUUCCAUGAUAAACGCGAUUUAUCCUAAAAAUUGCGUCCCCCCUUUGUAACCUCAACGUUAGAGCCAAAGUGCACGACGUCGCUGGCAGACAAUCCGACGUUAUCUCUGCAAAUUACCGGCGACAUUUUUCAGAUGUAUAAAUAUUGCUUGUAAAGUACUAACUCUAAAUUGGUAAUAUUGUUUCCGGGGGAAAAACAUGUGAAUGAUAAAUACCUCUCUCUGUUUGUGGUCUAAGUGAGAAACAUCUCAAGAAAAACUUUUUUUUAAAGUUAUAACCACUGUGCUUAAACGGCCGUGGCCCACAGCCCAAGAUGGAGCCGCCUGGCUUCGGUAAGGAAGUUUGCUCCUAUAUAAUUACAAUACCAUUAAUACAAAAGAAAUGUUCAGUAAUUAAAAAGUUUUAUAAAUCUUUUAGGGAAACUCUGCAAUGUAAAACGUGGUUUGUUUCUACAAAAUAAACGAUUACAGCAUGAUUUUCCAAAACACUAAUGAUGUCCGUAACUUCAAAAUAACUUGUCCGUAACUUUUUUCCUUAUACCAAAAGGGAUGUUCGUAACUUUAGCAUGAUGUCAGUAACUUUCAAAGAAUCUUUCUUCGUGGAUGUAAUUAUUUUAAACAAUAAAUGAUAAAUAACAAAAAAUACCGAACUCCUAGGAAUAUUCAAACGGAAAGUCCUUUAUGGAAUGGCAAAGCCAAAAGCUCAAUUUAACACACCAAACGAAUGGAAAACAAAGGUCAUAUUCCUGCCCUGGUACAGGCGGCAUUAAAAAGUAAAAUUACAAAAAUACUGAACUAUGAAGAAAAUCCAAAACAGGAAAGUUCCUUAUCAAAGGAGAAAAUCCAAAGCUCACUCGAAUGGAUAACAACUGCCAUUUUCCUGACUUGGUACAGUCAUUUUCUUAUGUAGAAAAUUGUACGGCAAAAUUAAUGUAUCUUACAUUCUACUAGAUUGUAAACUGCUUAAGUUUUAGAUGAUAAAUCAUGACAUGCAGGUUAUAACUCUCACCAUUUCCAACUGUAGAAAUUACAUUAAUAGUGAACAUAUGAAAAUCAUCUUAGGAGAACAAGUUCGGAGGUAAAUCCUUAGCAGAAAUACAUAGAUGAAUCAGUCAAAACCGUUAAAGAAGAUAUGUAUGAUUUGAUAACCGAUCUUAUUGAAUCCCUGAGGUCAAGAAACUUUUAGAAGAUUUUAAAUCUACCUUUAUUGCUAAAAUAAACUGACACCUGUUCAACAAUAUAGCCUUCCAUCUACUCCUAUAUAGAUAUUGGCGUUUUUUCUCACAACCAACUGUACAACACAUCACACUAGAUAUAGUGAAGAGACCAUACUUUUUUGGCUAACAAUUCAGAAAUUAUUUAAAGGAAAGGAUAUCAUUUUUUUCCCGCUGCUACACAGGCCAAGGACUCAUCAGUGAACAAUCUAUAAAGCUAGAAGAAUGAUAGAUAAAUUGUGCCGUACCGUCAGAUCCCGUUUUAUCCCGGGAAUAUUUUUUAAAAAUUUAACGGAAAAUCCGUGACACUCUGGUUUGCUUUUUUUCUAUUGUUUACUUUGAAGCAUAUCGUUAUUGUGCUAUAAAUCUAGUAUGUAAUAAUUAAGGGGUUUGAUAGUGUUUAUUGUCCUUAAAGUGUUGAAAUUGUUAAUCUUACAAUUUUGAAAAAAAAAAGUUACCCACAUCCGAAAAUAAAGUUACGGGCAGUCUGAUUAUUUUUGACUUAUAAGUUACGGACAUCUUAUGCAUUUUUUAAAAGUUGGCCUUGCGCUAAAGUGAGUCAAAAUUAACAAAUUUGUAGUGAUGGUAAGUGAUUUUUUUAUUCAAAAAUCCUAUCAAUAUUUACAAAGAUCAUGAAAAACGUUGCAAAAAGUAGAUUUCGUAUCAACUAUCAUCUCAACGAGUUUAGAGUCCGCUAUCUUGGGCUGUUGGUUAAUCAAGUUAUCCACGGUCGUUUAAGCACAGUGAUUACGGACUGUUGAUAAUUUUUACGGCUUUUGAAAUUAAAGACUCGUCAAUUUAGAACUUGACAUACAGUUACAUGUACUGUGCACACUCAUGUAUUAAUUUGAUGUAUUAAUCUAUAAAAUAUGUUGACCUCUAGAUGUUGUUUUUUAUUUUGUUUGAUGUGCUGCUGUUUCAUUACAAUACUCCUUUACACCACUCUAUUCACGUUUUAAUCACUUUUUAUAAUUUAACAUUUAUUCAUAAAAUCUAACUUUUUUCCGGGUCAUUGAUUACAUUUGAAUAAAAUUAAGAGGCUCCUAAACAGUUUAAAAUUCACAGUUUGUAUAGCUCAUAUAUAUAUAGACUAUGCGGUAUGGGCUUUGUUCAUUGUUGAAGACCGUACGGUGUCCUAUCGAUAUCUUUGUUAAUUUCUGUGUCCUGUUUGUUUCUUGUGGAUAGUUGUCUCAUUUACAGUUAUGCCAUAUCUUGUGUUUUAUGUUGUGAGAAAACAAAAACAAAAUCUUAUAAAGGAGAUUCUUCAAUAUGCUAAAAGAUGCUUUUGUCCAGAGAGAGAAACUAUACAAUAAUUUUGAUUUUUUUUUUUUCGGAAAAAACGAUUGAGUUAAUAGCGAGAGGACUGGACAAAGGGGCCUAUUACCUAUGGGUAAUUUCAUUGGUAAUUUACUAUAUAUAUAUUUUCACCACAGUGAUACACAUUGCAGGGUACAUACAAUAUCACACAUGCUUUGCAUCUGUCUGUCCUUCCGGUCAUUGUGGUUAAUUAGAUUUUUCAAGUGUACAAUUCUUGCCAAAUUUCUAUGAAACUGAUAUCGUAUGGACACGUUCGAAAAUCACUGCAUAUCAACUAUUCGUUAAAAGAGUCAGUAUGCCAUUCGGAAAUAUUAACUAUAUCGGAAAUUGCAUUGUAUUUGCUGUCAUUCC
rnacentral:lncRNA from 1 species